GGUAACAGGCCCCCUCACUUCCUCUGAAGAGAGGCGUUGGAAGGUAACAGUCCCCCCUCACUUCCUCUGAAGAGAGGCUGUUGGAAGGUAACAGUCCCCCCUCACUUCCUCUGAAGAGAGGUGUUGGAAGGUAACAGUCCCCCCUCACUUCCUCUGAAGAGAGGUGUUGGAAGGUAACAGUCCCCCCUCACUUCCUCUGAAGAGAGGUGUUGGAAGGUAACAGUCCCCCCUCACUUCCUCUGAAGAGAGGCUGUUGGAAGGUAACAGUCCCCCCUCACUUCCUCUGAAGAGAGGUGUUGGAAGGUAACAGUCCCCCCUCACUUCCUCUGAAGAGAGGUGUUGGAAGGUAACAGUCCCCCCUCACUUCCUCUGAAGAGAGGCUGUUGGAAGGUAACAGUCCCCCCUCACUUCCUCUGAAGAGAGGUGUUGGAAGGUAACAGUCCCCCCUCACUUCCUCUGAAGAGAGGUGUUGGAAGGUAACAGUCCCCCCUCACUUCCUCUGAAGAGAGGUGUUGGAAGGUAACAGUCCCCCCUCACUUCCUCUGAAGAGAGGUGUUGGAAGGUAACAGUCCCCCCUCACUUCCUCUGAAGAGAGGUGUUGGAAGGUAACAGUCCCCCCUCACUUCCUCUGAAGAGAGGUGUUGGAAGGUAACAGUCCCCCCUCACUUCCUCUGAAGAGAGGCGUUGGAAGGUAACAGUCCCCCCUCACUUCCUCUGAAGAGAGGUGUUGGAAGGUAACAGUCCCCCCUCACUUCCUCUGAAGAGAGGUGUUGGAAGGUAACAGUCCCCCCUCACUUCCUCUGAAGAGAGGUGUUGGAAGGUAACAGUCCCCCCUCACUUCCCCUGAAGAGAGGUGUUGGAAGGUAACAGUCCCCCCUCACUUCCUCUGAAGAGAGGUGUUGGAAGGUAACAGCCCCCCCUCACUUCCUCUGACCCUCCAGUACAAAGCCGUUUAAUUGGUUGGCUCCAUUUGUACUGUUUCCGGUGGUCUGAGCGGUAUUGUUGGUCCCCGACAACAGUAGCACUGGUCUUUUGAUAGAUACAGUACUGAGUGUGUGUGUGUGUGUGUGUGUGUGUGUGUGUGUGUGUGUGUGUGUGUGUGUGUGUGUGUGUGUGUGUGUGUGUGUGUGUGUGUGUGUGUGUGUGAGUGUGAGUGUGAGUGUGUGUGUGUGUGUGUGUGUCUGUGUGUGUACUAGGUUACGUAAUGGUUCUAUCGUAGGGUCCUAGGGUCGUCUCUGGGGAGGCCGUAGGCUUCUCUUCUCUCCACCUGUCACACAAAUGAAACGUCUCGUGGCCGUGUGAUGUGAUAUUUCUGAGUUGAAUGGCUGUUGCUGUCUGUCUGUCUGUCUGUCUGUCUGUCUGUCUGUCUGUCUGUCUGUCUGUCUGUCUGUCUG